UUCCGGUUGAUCCUGCCGGAGGUUACUGCUAUCGAGGUUCGACUAAGCCAUGCGAGUCGAAUGUAGCAAUACAUGGCGAACUGCUCAGUAACACGUGGACAACCUGCCCUUAGGACGGGGAUAAACCCGGGAAACUGGGUAUAAUACCCGAUAGGUCUCGAUUGCUGGAAUGCAUCGAGAUUUAAAGCUCCGGCGCCUAAGGAUGGGUCUGCGGCCUAUCAGGUAGUAGUGGGUGCAGCGUACCUACUAGCCUACGACGGGUACGGGUUGUGAGAGCAAGAGCCCGGAGAUGGAUUCUGAGACACGAAUCCAGGCCCUACGGGGUGCAGCAGGCGCGAAAACUUUACAAUGCUGGCAACAGCGAUAAGGGAACCUCGAGUGCCAGGUUACAAAUCUGGCUGUCGAGAUGCCUAAAAAGCAUUUCAUAGCAAGGGCCGGGCAAGACCGGUGCCAGCCGCCGCGGUAACACCGGCGGCUCGAGUGGUAACCGUUAUUAUUGGGUCUAAAGGGUCUGUAGCCGGCCGGAUAAGUCUCUUGAGAAAUCUGGCAGCUUAACUGUCAGGCUUUCAGGAGAUACUGUCUGGCUCGAGGCCGGGAGAGGUGAGAGGUACUUCAGGGGUAGGGGUGAAAUCUUGUAAUCCUUGAAGGACCACCAGUGGCGAAGGCGUCUCACCAGAACGGACCUGACGGCAAGGGACGAAAGCUAGGGGCACGAACCGGAUUAGAUACCCGGGUAGUCCUAGCCGUAAACGAUGCUCGCUAGGUGUCGGCCACGGUGCGACCGUUGUCGGUGCCGUAGGGAAGCCGUGAAGCGAGCCACCUGGGAAGUACGGCCGCAAGGCUGAAACUUAAA
rnacentral:rRNA from 1 species